GGUUUGCGGGUCCAGGGUCAGCCGCCACUCCUCCACCCUCAUUCCCCCGGGCCUGGGUCUCUACACAUGAGUUGAUGGGCACAAUGGACGUUUCUUCCUGAAGUCCAUGGGGAGAGAAGCAAUCCCACAAGCCAUCUGGAGUUUCUAGAAGCUCAUGAGCACAUUUAUGUCUGAGCCCAUGUGACCCUCUCUCCGAAACUCUGAGAAAUGAGGGAUGAAGAUUUUGAGGAGAGGCAGAAAGAGCUUGUACUAAGAAGAUGGGGCUAAGAAUCUAGAAAAUUCCAACAUCAAUGUUCAAAGUGUACUCUUAGACACCAAAAGGAGAUGAGGUCCCGGCUGAGGAACUUGUUAAUCUUACAAAGUGCAAGGAGGGAUCAAGUGUCUUUCAAGCAAGAGGGAAGAUCGGUCACCCAAAGGAGAGGGCCAAACAGACUCACCACAUUUUUUAAAAAUCAAGUUUGUUAAUAACUAAAGUGACAAUAAAUCC